CUGCGGGCCACGCGGUCCCAACGCCGCGCGAGCUCUCUGUAAGGAGAGUCAUU
rfam:Novosphingobium tardaugens NBRC 16725 DNA, contig: NT201.